GUGGGGAAUAUUGGGCAAUGGGCGAAAGCCUGACCCAGCAACGCCGCGUGAAGGAAGAAGGCCUUCGGGUUGUAAACUUCUUUUAAGAGGGACGAAGAAAGUGACGGUACCUCUUGAAUAAGCCACGGCUAACUACGUGCCAGCAGCCGCGGUAAUACGUAGGUGGCAAGCGUUGUCCGGAUUUACUGGGUGUAAAGGGCGUGCAGCCGGGAGCCCAAGUCAGAUGUGAAAUCCCGCGGCUUAACCGCGGAACUGCAUUUGAAACUGGGUUUCUUGAGUACCGGAGAGGUCAUCGGAAUUCCUUGUGUAGCGGUGAAAUGCGUAGAUAUAAGGAAGAACACCAGUGGCGAAGGCGGAUGACUGGACGGCAACUGACGGUGAGGCGCGAAAGCGUGGGGAGCAAACAGG
rnacentral:rRNA from 1 species